CACGCAGGCGGUCUGUUAAGUCAGAUGUGAAAUCCCCGGGCUUAACGUGGGCAUUGCAUUUGAAACUAUGUAGCUAGAGUUCUGUAGAGGGGGGUAGAAUUCCAGGUGUAGCGGUGAAAUGCGUAGAGAUCUGGAGGAAUACCGAUGGCGAAGGCAGCCAUCUGGCCUAAUACUGACACUGAGGUGCGAAAGCAUGGGGAGCAAACAGGAUUAGAUACCCCAGUA
rnacentral:rRNA from 1 species